GCCUAAGCCCAGAUGUCCCAGAGGCAGAUGAGGGAACAGGACCAGGACCAGAUGAGAGGUCAGAUCGGCGCUUGUGACACCGAGAACCUUCUGUGCUGGCAGGAGGCCGGUGACCUCUCUGUCCUUCCCCGUGACUGGGCUCACAGCUCCUGUUGCCAAGGAUCCCGGCUGGCAGUUCAGCAAGGGGCCACUGCACCAGCCUGGCUCAUCACAGCGCAGCCGAGAGAGCAGCUGGGCUCGGGCCCAAGUUUCUCCUUUUCUGUAUCAGCACGUUUGCCAUACAGAAUGAACACGUUCCUCUUGGGGAGCCAGCCUGUGUGAUUCCACGGUUAUGUGUGGGAACCCCAGCGAACGCCACCUGAAUGUCACAAAGGGCGCUCUUCUUCGCGGAGUGAUCCCCCGGGGUCCAGGCCCCUCACGCCCUCCCUCACAGCUCCGAGACACAGGAAGAGCACUUCCUGAAGGAGAACCGGGUGAGAUCACACUGCAGCACGGGAGGCCUCUGGGAAAUUGUGGGGCCGGGUUACUACAGCUGGGUCACAUUGUCAUUAAGUUUCUGAAGAUAUUUUCCAAACUCUGAUGCGCUAUAGUACAAAAACUCAGAAGUAACUUUCCUCAGUGCCUCCAAUGAUGAAGAAAGGGAAAAAUGAAAGUUGGGGGAGAGGAUUCCUGGGGUCACUUCCCUUCCCACAGGUUCAUUCUGAGGGCUGAGUGGGGAGCCCUGGACCUGGGGCCCCGGGCUGUGGCAGGGAGCCCUGGGUCUCCUGGGAAAAGAUUUGUCUCCUUGGGGAGGCAGAGGCCAAAUUCCUGCCUUUCCACAGGGUCAUUAACAUAUAUGACGUGUGAUUUAAAAAAUACAGCAGAUGUUUCCAUUAAAAAAUUUUUACAUUUAGUUGAGCAGUUGUGGCUGUCUGGAUGUCCUGAAUUAAUUCAAAAUGGUGAUCAUUUAUGGUUAUUUUGAUUUUGGGGAAGAGCCGGAAGUCACCAGUACCAGAUCUGGUGGGUAAGGAGAUGAGGACAUCUUGUGAUGUCUUUCCCAGCCUGCCUUUCUGUUGGAUGGCAUUCGGCUGCCGCAGUCAUUGUAUUUUUUAUCACAACUCGUAAAGACACUCAGAAAAGAGGAUUCCAGAACUGCUUCAGAAAGGGGCAGGGACAAGGGGGUUAGUGUGUUCGAAGGAAGGGGUGGUGGGGAUUUGAGGGGGAAUUCACGGCCAUGGGUCUCUUAUUCUAACAAGUUUUAAGAAUUUACGCAUUCUCUAUACAUUUUGAUUGCCUCUUGUACAUGUGAACCCCAAAUCCAAGAGUGUGGUAUUCAGACUGAUUUAAUAGGCAUCUAUUCUGAGGCCCAAGUUUCAAGGGCAAGGGGUUAAGAGUGCAAGACGAGGCUCCAGCUCCAGCCCUGAUGAGCUGUGCUUCUAGGGAGGAGGAGACUGGAGCCAGCUCACCACACCUCCAUGGUCCUCUGCCACCUACUGAGUGACUAUGGUAGGCAUGAAAGUCGGUUCCGUGAGGCUGGUGGCAGCAGGACAUGGGCCAGGGGCCCCGAACCCACUGGCACGGGGGCACCUGUCAGGGUGGUGGUGGAGAGGAGGAGACCGAGGAACAAGAGAGUGGGUGUCGCAUACCUACCUUCGAGGGAGUCCUGUGGCAUGGAGGGUGGAACAUGGGCUAAGGUGGGGAGCAGAGGGGUGGCAGCCCCAGAUAGAGUCAGAGAUGCCAGGAGGGGAGCAGCUUGCCCUGGAGGCGGGGACUCCCCUCACUGAGGGAAGUAAGGAGGGCGCUGAGACCCCAGACAAACCACAGGGGCAGGAGGGCCAGAGCCAGGGCUUCCUGCUCUGCUGAGUCCCCGCUCCCCAGCUCCAUGAGCUGCUGACUCUCACACCCGGCUUCUGGCGGACACCUAGUAGGCUGGCACCACAGGUGGGUGCAUUGCUAGCACACGUGUGUGCGUGUGUGCAUACGCACACACACACACACACACACACACACCUUCCAGGGGCUCCCAAAUGAGAGGGGAGGGAGGAAAGCAGAGCGGUCCUGAAGGGCUGAAAGAGGAGCUUAAUCCUCAGGGCAGGAGGGUGCCCUGUGGCCUGGGCUCCCCAGCUGGCUCCCCAGCUGGCUACCAUGCACUCAGGAGAAGGGAGAAGGCCAGGGCGUGGCUGGAACUGAGAGAGCCUAGGCCACUCUGCAGGUGGCCAGCACUCUGCCUCCCAGCAAAAAGGUUGUGAGGCUGGAAAACAAGGGGAUUGGGGCUCAUUCCUUCCUGCCUCUUCCCACCCUGCUUUUAUUUUAAAGUUAAAAUUGUGAGCAGCGUUUUCCUAAUGUUGCCGCCUCAGACUACGCGGCUCGGCUCAUGCUGUCUUCAGCCAGCUGCUGAGUGCCCAUCACAGGGUGGGCUUCUCGUGAACUGAGAACUGAAGGCCUCGGCCUCCUCGGUGGCAGCCGUGAGGGCCAGAGGGGCAGGCGGAGAUCUGAGGACUCCACUCAGGAGCAGCCCACUUCCUUGGAGGGCACCCCUGGCUGUGUUCUGGGGUUUACGGAAGGAGGUGCUGUGGGACAGCAGGUAAAGGGACCGAUGUCUGCAAACCAUGAGACCUGGAUGCGGGGAGGUAACCCUGGACACGGCACACACGAAGGGCCUCGCUGCUGUCCGAGCUGCCUGAUGUGUCCCUCUAGGUUGUGGGGGACAGAGGGGUGAUGUAGAUUGACUUAGAGAGGUUUUCUCCUGUCCCCACCAAAGACAUAACACACAGUGGGGCUUGUGUCACAGAGACAGUCAGCAGCCUCCUGAAACGGCUUAGCUGAAAUGCAGGAAGGGCCUGAGCUAGCGCAGUUGUGGGACAUAAAGGAGUGGACCACAAAAGGAAUAUUUAAAACUCAGUGAGACUGUCCAAAAAAUAAGGAGGAAAGAGAACAAGGCUCCAGAGCUUGAAGAGACACUUCACAAAACAAAACAAGGGAAGAACCAAUAAGCACACGAAAGCGUGUUCGGCAGCAUUCCCUACGGGGACAGGCAAAGUAAAACUGCAGCAUGAGGUCAUUGCAUGCCAUCAAGAGUGGCUAAGCUCAAAGGGCCUGACCUUAUGGGCCCGGUGGGGCAGUGGGGAGACUGGAACUUCCCCCUGCUGGGUGGGAGAGUUAAGUGGUGCAAACUGUUUAGAGAAUGCGUGGGCAGUGUCUUACGGAGUCAAAUGUGCAUCUGCCCUGUGAUUAAGAAAUUCCACUUCUAGGAAUCUGCACGAGAAAACACACUUGUAUAUUAUCACAGUCGAUAAGAAAAGCACGUUCCAAAUUGUAACGAAUGUUGACAGCAGUCUCAUUCAAGUGUUGAAGUCCUGGAAGGAACCCACAUGUCCACAGGCGAAAGAAUGGAGAAAUAGCCAAUGGUAUAACCAUACAAUAGGACACCGCCAGCAACAAAAAGGAGCACCUUUAUCUAUGCAGUGAAGCAUGAGUGAAAAGAAAAGUACUACUUCAGGUAAACGAAGCAAGACACAAAACAGUACAGACUGCAAACACAUGAAAAAUGUUUAACAUGGUUGUGGCCUUCGGAGAAAUGCAGAUUAAAACAACACCGAGAGUCCAUCUUAGCCCGGAGAAAUGGCUAUUAUCAUCAAGAAAUCAAAUCAUAACAAGUGCUGGUGAGGCUGGGUGGGGUGGGGGGAGCCCUUCCUUCUACAUUGUUGGUGGGAAUGUAAACUAGUGUAACAAUUAUCUUCAGACUGAGAUGCCUCAAAACACUUGAACUAGAAAUUCCAUUUGACCCUUCUAGGUAUCUUUCUAAAAGAGUUGAAGACAUCAUUUUACAGUGAUCCAUGCACACUCACGUUUAUAGCAGCACAAUGCAUAAUAGCUAAAUGCUGGAAGCAGAUCAUCCAUCAACAGAUGAAUGGGCAAAGAAAAUAUAGUUAUACCCAA